CCAAUAGCGUAUAUUAAAGUUGUUGCAGUUAAAAAGCUCGUAGUUGAAUUUCGGGGUCAGUAGGUUGGUCAUGCCACUGGUAUGUACUGGUCUCACUGAUUCCUCCUUCCUGAUGAGCUGUAAUGCCAUUAAUUUGGUGUUGCAGGGAAUCUGGACUGUUACUUUGAAAAAAUUAGGGUGUUUAAAGCAGGCUAACGCCUGAAUACAUUAGCAUGGAAUAAUGAAAUAGGACGUUCGAUCCUAUUUUGUUGGUUUCUAGGAUUGACGUAAUGAUUAAUAGGGAUAGUUGGGGGCAUUAGUAUUCAAUUGUCAGAGGUGAAAUUCUUGGAUUUAUUGAAGACUAACUACUGCGAAAGCAUUUGCCAAGGAUGUUUUCAUUAAUCAAGAACGAAAGUUAGGGGAUCGAAGACGAUCAGAUACCGUCGUAGUCUUAACCAUAAACUAUGCCGACUAGGGAUCGGAUGAUGUUAAUUUUUUAAUGACUCAUUCGGCGCCUUACG
rnacentral:rRNA from 1 species